CUGCGCUGAUCGACAGUUCUCCAGGAAUCAAUUUUUCUAUUUGAUUGCUUUCGAAGUCUCUGGAAAAAUAAAAUUAUUAGGUGAAUUUGGAGAAGACGGCAGCAACCGUUUGGAUUUGAAAAUUUUCGGAGAGGAUAUCAUAUUAAAUGAAAACGUAUUCAACGGAAUGAAAUCCGUGAAUUGAUAACUGUUUACAUAAUAAAAUGCGAUAACAAUGCGAACAACCGUACAAACGUGCGGCCGCGCUGCAGGUCAACAACGAACUGAUAACAAUUUUUAUUGAAAAUUAUGCAAGAUUAUUUCGUAAAUACCCAGGGCAUAGCCAAGAAAAUUUGAAAACGCCCUAUACCUAAUAAUUCAA